rnacentral:lncRNA from 1 species
GAGAAACCAAAGUGUGUGGAAAUUUCAUGCAAAUCCCCAGAUGUUAUAAAUGGAUCUCCUAUAUCUCAGAAGAUUAUUUAUAAGGAGAAUGAACGAUUUCAAUAUAAAUGUAACAUGGGUUAUGAAUACAGUGAAAGAGGAGAUGCUGUAUGCACUGAAUCUGGAUGGCGUCCGUUGCCUUCAUGUGAAGAAAAAUCAUGUGAUAAUCCUUAUAUUCCAAAUGGUGACUACUCACCUUUAAGGAUUAAACACAGAACUGGAGAUGAAAUCACGUACCAGUGUAGAAAUGGUUUUUAUCCUGCAACCCGGGGAAAUACAGCAAAAUGCACAAGUACUGGCUGGAUACCUGCUCCGAGAUGUACCUUGAAACCUUGUGAUUAUCCAGACAUUAAACAUGGAGGUCUAUAUCAUGAGAAUAUGCGUAGACCAUACUUUCCAGUAGCUGUAGGAAAAUAUUACUCCUAUUACUGUGAUGAACAUUUUGAGACUCCGUCAGGAAGUUACUGGGAUCACAUUCAUUGCACACAAGAUGGAUGGUCGCCAGCAGUACCAUGCCUCAGAAAAUGUUAUUUUCCUUAUUUGGAAAAUGGAUAUAAUCAAAAUCAUGGAAGAAAGUUUGUACAGGGUAAAUCUAUAGACGUUGCCUGCCAUCCUGGCUACGCUCUUCCAAAAGCGCAGACCACAGUUACAUGUAUGGAGAAUGGCUGGUCUCCUACUCCCAGAUGCAUCCGUGUCAGGCAGUGCUGACUUUCAGCACACAACCUUGUCUGCAGCAGAGAAACCAUUUCUGGUCUCAGAAGAAGUCUCAGGCUUUACCCUCUGAACUUCUGAUCGAAGGUCAUCCCUCUCCAGCUUGAGUGGAUCAAAGAUGACAAGGGCCAAUGGAACCAAGUUUGAGUCUUGCCAGGUCAAUACUUGGGUCCUGAGUAUGGUGACUAGUAUCUGUUUUGUUAUGUGUGUAUUAUUCCAGCCAGAAUGGGAAAUGCUAAUUCAGCUCCUCCAGGCAGCCCAAUGGGGCUGGUGGCUUUGAGAUUAUUAAACUCUUU